GGUUGCGAUCAUACCAGCACUAAUGCACCGGAUCUCAUCAGAACUCCACAGUUAAACGUUUUUGGGCGAGAGUAGUACUAGAUAGGGUGACCCUCUUAGAAGUCCUCGUGUUGCAACCC